AAGACUAUACUUUCAAGGAUCAUUUCUAUAGUUCAUUACACAAAAUUCUCUUAGCUAGCCCUUGUUGCUGUCACGAGUGGUAGAGGAAGGGUGGACCUUCCUGAUUGU
rnacentral:snoRNA from 1 species